GGAUUGAUGAAUCCCUCAUUAAAACAUUCCUGGGAAAAGCUGAAGAAAAUGAGUGAAACUCACUACUGUCUUGCUCAUAAGAACUGAGGUGC
ensembl:snoRNA SNORD116 Small nucleolar RNA SNORD116